UGAUAUGCCAUGGAGGGUCAGCUUAUAUAUUAUCCCCUAGGACAUCAUUUAAUUGUGAACAUUGUGAUGGUAUUAUGUACUAUUAAUUGUGAUGACUGAGACACUGUACAAUCUUAUUGCAGAGUAUUUUUCUAGGCCGCAGAUUCCUAAAGAAUCAGAUGUCGUGAAUCAGAUACUUAAAUCCAACUACCUUUUCAGAAUGAGGUCCUAUAAUGAAGCUGGCUGUAGGCAUCACUACCACAACUUCUCAAACAUAAAUCAACAUGAGUUAUAUAGCUUUGUCAGUGAACAACCUUUGUUAUUCUUACAUGCUAACAGUUGAUAUGAGUCGCUUAUCUACUGAUUUUCAUUGUUGUUUGCAAUUGUUAAUAUCUUGACUAUUAAGCUGUAAUUGCCUCUACAUAAAUAUAGAAAUUCAGUAAAUAUCUGCUGAUACUACAUUCUUCUCACAAGGAAAUUAUGUUCGAUGUCCUGAUUCACUUACCACUCAACAGGAAGAUUGUUUUAGAUGAGGACUAGACCAGAUCUUUAGUGACCUGGCGAAUAGGCUCGUCACAAAAAAUAGUAGCAGAUGCAUAUGAGGAUAUACUAUCAAGGCUAUGAAAAUGGCUGCUGCUUGGAAUCUGGAUGGACAGAUUGACAUGGUGAAGGUGGUUGUCUUUAAGAACAAGACAAACUCGCCCUCACCAACUCCUCAGUAAACCUUUGGUGGUAGAGCCACUGCAGGCUAUGAUUAUGGGUUCACCUUUAGAGAAUGCAAGACAAGGCCCAGAGAUACCAUGGGACGUACUGCAAUCAAGAUGUCAGUAUCAAAGUACUUGAGCUUGAGCAG